UAGCAAUAGAUCUGUAUUUGGCCCUGUUGAUCCCUUUCCUUUCCUCCUGGAUACUUUCUCCCAUCUGGAUUUUUGUGGCAUUUCUCUCUCCUGGUUCCCUCCUUCUCAGUCUCCUUUGUUGGACUCCAUUUUUAUCACACCCCCUAACUGUGUCUGGUCUCCAAGGCUCUUGUCCAUUUACUCUCUCUAUACAUUCUGUUUUCCUCUUUCCUUGCCUCCUUGCUUCUCUCCUCUCUCUCUGACUCCCUCUUUCUUUUCUGUCUGUUUUCCCCCUUCCUCUCUCUUUACCUCCAUCUCUCUGUUUCCUCUCUAUUUCUCUCUCCCUCUGUCUCCCCUCUGUGUCUCAGACUUAGUCUCUGUCUAUCCCCUCUCACAUCUCUCUCCCCCUCCAUCCUCUCCCUUCUUUCUCUGCCUUCCACCUUCCCUCUCCUCCUCUUUCUGUCUCCCUCCUUCCUCUCUCCCUUCCUUUCUCCUCUUCUCUUCUUUCUCUCUCUGUCUCUGUCUCUCUGUCUGUGUCUCUCUCUCCCCGCCUCUGUCUUUCUCCUUUUUUCUGCCUCUGUUUCCCUAAUUCUCUCUCUCUCUGAGUUUCUCUCUCUGUCUCUGUGUUGUCCCAUUUCUCUCUCCCCCUUCUGCCCUUUCCCAUUCUAUAUCUACCUCCCCCUCUCUUUCUUUGUCUCUCUCUCCCUCUCCCUCUUUGUCUGUCUCUUUGUCUCUCUCUCUCUCUCUCUCUCCCCUUCCCUUCCUUUUCUCUGUCUCUCAUCUUUCUCAUCUCUUUCCCGCCUUUCACUUUCUAUCUUCCUUUUUCUCAUUCUCUCUUUCCUUCUCUUCCUAUCUCUCCCCCUUCAUCUUGUGCCUCUCUCCCUCUUUCUCUCCCUCUCUCUUUUCCUCCCUCUCUCUUCUCCCCCUCUCUCUUCUCCCUCAUCCAUCUCUCUUCCCCCUCAUCCAUCUCUCUUCCUCUGUCUCUCCCUUCUAUCUCUCCCUCCCUUCUUAUUUUUCAUCCUUCUGCCUCCCUAUCUCCACCCUCUGUCUUUUUCUUUCUCUCCUGAAUCUCUCCUUUCCUCUCUCCCUUUCUCCUCUCCAUCCCUCCUUCUGUCUCUAUCUCUCCCUCUCUCUUGAAUCUUAUCCUCCCUCCUUCCCUAUCUCUGAC
rnacentral:lncRNA from 1 species